CUACGGGAGGCACCAGUGAGGAAUAUUGCACAAUGGGGGGAACCCUGAUGCAGCAACGCCGCGUGGAGGAUGACGCAUUUCGGUGUGUAAACUCCUUUUAUAUGUCAAGAAAAUGACGGUAGCAUAUGAAUAAGCACCGGCUAACUCCGUGCCAGCAGCCGCGGUAAUACGGAGGGUGCAAGCGUUACUCGGAAUCACUGGGCGUAAAGGACGCGUAGGCGGGUUGGAAAGUCAGGUGUGAAAUCCUACAGCUUAACUGUAGAACUGCACUUGAAACUUGUAAUCUAGAGUAUGGGAGGGGGAGAUGGAAUUAGUGGUGUAGGGGUAAAAUCCGUAGAUAUCACUAGGAAUACCUAAAGCGAAGGCGAUCUCCUGGAACAUUACCGACGCUAAGGCGUGAAAGCGUGGGGAGCAAACAGGAUUAGAUACCCCUGUAGUC
rnacentral:rRNA from 1 species